rnacentral:rRNA from 1 species
UACCCCAAACCGACACAGGUGGUCAGGUAGAGAAUACCAAGGCGCUUGAGAGAACUCGGGUGAAGGAACUAGGCAAAAUGGUGCCGUAACUUCGGGAGAAGGCACGCUGACACGUAGGUGAAGUGAUUUACUCAUGGAGCUGAAGUCAGUCGAAGAUACCAGCUGGCUGCAACUGUUUAUUAAAAACACAGCACUGUGCAAACACGAAAGUGGACGUAUACGGUGUGACGCCUGCCCGGUGCCGGAAGGUUAAUUGAUGGGGUCAGCGCAAGCGAAGCUCCUGAUCGAAGCCCCGGUAAACGGCGGCCGUAACUAUAACGGUCCUAAGGUAGCGAAAUUCCUUGUCGGGUAAGUUCCGACCUGCACGAAUGGCGUAAUGAUGGCCAGGCUGUCUCCACCCGAGACUCAGUGAAAUUGAACUCGCUGUGAAGAUGCAGUGUACCCGCGGCAAGACGGAAAGACCCCGUGAACCUUUACUAUAGCUUGACACUGAACAUUGAGCCUUGAUGUGUAGGAUAGGUGGGAGGCUUUGAAGUGUGGACGCCAGUCUGCAUGGAGCCGACCUUGAAAUACCACCCUUUAAUGUUUGAUGUUCUAACGUGGACCCGUGAUCCGGGUUGCGGACAGUGUCUGGUGGGUAGUUUGACUGGGGCGGUCUCCUCCUAAAGAGUAACGGAGGAGCACGAAGGUUGGCUAAUCCUGGUCGGACAUCAGGAGGUUAGUGCAAUGGCAUAAGCCAGCUUGACUGCGAGCGUGACGGCGCGAGCAGGUGCGAAAGCAGGUCAUAGUGAUCCGGUGGUUCUGAAUGGAAGGGCCAUCGCUCAACGGAUAAAAGGUACUCCGGGGAUAACAGGCUGAUACCGCCCAAGAGUUCAUAUCGACGGCGGUGUUUGGCACCUCGAUGUCGGCUCAUCACAUCCUGGGGCUGAAGUAGGUCCCAAGGGUAUGGCUGUUCGCCAUUUAAAGUGGUACGCGAGCUGGGUUUAGAACGUCGUGAGACAGUUCGGUCCCUAUCUGCCGUGGGCGCUGGAGAACUGAGGGGGGCUGCUCCUAGUACGAGAGGACCGGAGUGGACGCAUCACUGGUGUUCGGGUUGUCAUGCCAAUGGCACUGCCCGGUAGCUAAAUGCGGAAGAGAUAAGUGCUGAAAGCAUCUAAGCACGAAACUUGCCCCGAGAUGAGUUCUCCCUGAGACUUUAGGUCUCCUGAAGGAACGUUGAAGACGACGACGUUGAUAGGCCGGGUGUGUAAGCGCAGCGAUGCGUUGAGCUAACCGGUACUAAUGAACCGUGAGGCUUAACCUUACA